rnacentral:rRNA from 1 species
GGUCUUUUGUUUAUAUAAAAGAUUUGGCCUGCCCAAUGAUUAUUUUAAUGGCUGCAGUAUUUUGACUGUACAAAGGUAGCAUAAUCACUUGUCUCUUAAUUGGAGUCUGGUAUGAAUGGUUGGAUGAAAAAUUUACUUUCUUUAUUUUAAAUAUUGAAUUUGAUUUUUGAGUUAAAAAGCUCAAAUAUAUUUAUAGGACGAGAAGACCCUAUAGAACUUUACUUUUCUUAUUUUAGUUUUUUAUUUGCAAAUAAUUUUUUAUUAUUUUAAUAUAAGUUUUAUUGGGGUGAUAAAAAAAAUUUUAUAACUUUUUUUAUUUUUUUCAUUUAUUUAUGCUUUUUUGAUCCUUUAUUAUGGAUAAUAAGAUUAAGUUACCUUAGGGAUAACAGCGUUAUUAUUUUAGAGAGUUCAUAUCGAUAAAAUAGUUUGCGACCUCGAUGUUGGAUUAAAAUUAGUGUCAGGUGUAGAAUAUUGAUUACUGGGUCUGUUCGACCUUUAAUUUUUUACA